rnacentral:siRNA from 1 species
CUCGAAAUUAGGGCUUUGGUUAGC